AUUGAACGCUGGCGGCAUGCCUUACACAUGCAAGUCGAACGGCAGCACGGGAGCAAUCCUGGUGGCGAGUGGCGAACGGGUGAGUAAAGUAUCGGAACGUGCCCAGUCGUGGGGGAUAACGUAGCGAAAGUUACGCUAAUACCGCAUACGAUCUAUGGAUGAAAGCGGGGGAUCGCAAGACCUCGCGCGAUUGGAGCGGCCGAUAUCAGAUUAGGUAGUUGGUGGGGUAAAGGCUCACCAAGCCGACGAUCUGUAGCUGGUCUGAGAGGACGACCAGCCACACGGGGACUGGGACACGGCCCAGACUCCUACGGGAGGAAGCAGUGGGGAAUUUUGGACAAUGGGCGAAAGCCUGAUCCAGCCAUGCCGCGUGCAGGAUGAAGGCCUUCGGGUUGUAAACUGCUUUUGUACGGAACGAAAAGGUUUGGCCUAAUAAGCUGAGCUCAUGACGGUACCGUAAGAAUAAGCACCGGCUAACUACGUGCCAGCCGCCGCAGUAA
rnacentral:rRNA from 1 species